CGCGUAGGUGGCCUUCUAAGUCGAACGUGAAAUCCCUGGGCUCAACCCAGGAACUGCGUCCGAUACUGGAAGGCUUGAAUCCGGGAGAGGGAUGUGGAAUUCCAGGUGUAGCGGUGAAAUGCGUAGAUAUCUGGAGGAACACCGGUGGCGAAGGCGGCAUCCUGGACCGGUAUUGACGCUGAGGCGCGAAAGCCAGGGGAGCAAACG
rnacentral:rRNA from 1 species